UUCAUCUCACAGAGUGAGAUGAGUCCCUCAAGUACAGAGAUUGUUCAUCUUUUCAUCUCUGCAGUUCCCAUGCCCAGUACAGGUCCUGACACAGUCAGCCCAAUGAAGGAGGAGGAGGAAAAGGAGGAGAAGAAGAAAAGAAAAAGAAAGAAAGAGAGAGGAAGAGGAAGAUGAUCAGAGUGGAAAUGUGGCCAGGCGAGGUGGCUCAUGCCUGUAAUCCCAGCACUUUGGGAGGCUGAGGUGGGCGGAUCACUUAUUUAUAUACCUCCUAUGGCAUAUACCUCUCCACAUUUUUAUAAUUGCCAUUUAUAUACGUUUCUAAGUUCCUAUAGUAUUGUCCUUCAAGGCAAAAAUCCUGGUAUUAUCUUCUUGAUAUUCUUAGGGCCUAAUGUUACCAAAAUGCCAGGGGUUUGGUCUUGGUCCUGUUGCUUGCUGCUUGGAGAGCUAGGCCCUGAGACAAUGAGAGGUGCCAGGUAAGAAGGCUUUAUCUGGGUGCUGCAGCGAAGGAGACAGGAGAUGAGUCUCAAACCUGCCUGACUAAAAUUGGGGGUUUAUAUAGCAGAGAAGGAACGUAGCUACAAGCAGGAAGGAGUUCGGGAGUGAUAAGGAAGCAGUCAUGAUGAAUGAGGGGUGUGAGCUCUCAUUAUCUGGAUGUGGUGAUCUGGUGAGUUUCAGUCCAUUGCCUGAGGGUCAGUUUCCUGAGAAGAGAUUUCAGAUGGGGCAAAUAGAAGCUUCAAAUUUUAAGAUCAGGAGAGUCAAUUUCUAUAUUUAUUCAAAAAACCCAUACACAUUAUUUCUACGGAGCAAUUGGGCUGGUUUCACUAGCACAGUGCUUGGUUAUCUUCAGUGCAUAACUGAGUAAAUAACUGCUCAGUAAAUAACUGCUGAAUUAAAGGAAGUAGCGAUGAUGGCAGUGGCUGUGGAAGUGGUGCAGGUUAGGAGCCACGAUGGUAGUUUUUGUUGGGAAUGUUACUGAGGGUGGUGGUGAUGAUACUGAUGAUAGAGGUAGCCCUACUGAUGUUGGUGAGGUUGGUAUUGUUGAGUCCUAAAUCAGAGAAAAGAGCACUAAGUUAUCUAGGAGAAAUAUCAUUUUGAUAAUAAAGGAAAACUUGGUGGUAAGCCUGAUUGCCAGUCUAUGCAACAGUUAGCAGGAGAAAAUACCAGAUUUUCUCUGACAGCUUUGGGAUCUGAUGAAUAGAUAGCAGAGGCUACUGGGAGAAAUUUUAUCAGCCUCUGGAGAGUCCUUCUAGCUGACUCCCUAAAUGCCUCUUUGCUCCAGGACUUAGGUUUUUGAAGGAAUUGAGCAAUGAAUAUGAAAGAAGAGGGAUAAAUAGUCACACCCAGAGUGACUUCCCAUUCCUCAUUGUCUCUUGCAAAGACAAGACAUUCUUUAGAAGGGAUCCUUCCAAAGAAAAUAUCCUGAGCACCUGAGUAUCCUGCUUGUGGAUCCCCAAUAGCCAGCACGCUGACUCACUGCUAUUUGUGCAGUUCCCAUGUGCCAGUGAAUUAUAAUGAGAAUAUUCUGGGCAAUCAAAUUACUGGAGCUGAAGGGGGUGCUGAAGCAGGGAUUGCCCACAUAGGUCACUUUCUAGAAAGCAGGUUCCAAAAAUGUCUUUCUGUGCACUGAGAAUUGGAUCGCACCAUUCCAACAGAGAAGCUAUUUUCUGCCCAUAACAUACAUAGACUGAAGGAAUUAAAAUGCAGUGAGUUUAGUUGAAAGCUUAUUGUACUUAAAUCCACAAAAAUUAGGUACUUUUCAACUUAUUUACCCUGCGCUGUAUUUAAACCGCUUCCCUCCUGCCUUCGUUCUGUAAAUAACCAUUCCAAAAUCUAGACUGCCUAUCGAACAACAAAGCAAUGAUUCAGUUAAUAAUUAUAAACCUUAACAAUUCAGCAUGCACCCACUUAUAGAAGAACUAGAUAUCACUUGCCUGAAAUAUUUGACAGUCAUACAAGAGAGCAAUCGGCUACUUAAACAACGCAGUCAUGUUGGGAGCUGUUGGGGAAGGGGUAAGGGCGGGGAGGAUUGUUUUUGAAUGAAACUUCAUCUACGUGGUUCCAAUGGAUUCUUUCCCACACAAGCUCAAGCCUACAUCUCACAGAGCUAUUAGGUCUGUAUACUUCCUUGUGCUCUGCUCCAAGAAUUAGUGAGUCAUGUUUUAAGCACAAAUUCUUAACAUAGGUGCUACCAGGGAACAAAGGAAAACAAAAUGCCUCAUUCUUUUAUUCAUCUUUUGAAAGGAAACUCAUGGCGGAAACAUUUGUAUAACAUUCCAUUUAUAUAACCUGAGAAAUAUCAGCUGAAGGAAAGAACAGUACAGCUGAGGAAGGGGACUGUGGUGUUUUCUUUCCACAAGCCCAUGCCCCUCCUAGACUAUUAGUUCCUAAUGUGUUUCACAGCUCUUGGGUCCAGCAAGGAAAUGUGAGGGCACAUCGUGGGAGGCAGAGAGGUGGAGGGGAGCCCAUCAGGAGGGCCCAAAUGCUCCAGCAGGUAUUAGGAAAUGCUUCAGUAGAGUGUUUGCAAGCAUGGGCUGCGGAGUCAGGCAGAUCACUGGCUGUGUGACCCUGGGCAGGUGGCUGAACGUCUCUGUGCCUUAGCAUCAUUGUUGGGAAGAACGAGGAUAAUAACGACAAAAAAAUACCCCGUGGACUAUAGAAGGUUUUCUAUAUGUCUGAUACAUAAACCAAGUUCAAUAAAGCCCCUUGGGUCCAAUUCUGGUUUCUUCUCUUGGACCGGUCAUUUUGCUCCUCUUAGUUUCAGUCUCCUCAUCUUUCUCUGAAUCUUUUAUACUUGGGAUUGAUGGAAAACUUACAGAAAUGUUCUGAAAUGCAAAAAUGUCAUAAUGACCUAGCCAUAGCUCACACAUGAAUCCUCAGUGUGAACCAGGAAUCAACCACUUGUGACCACAAAAGGGAAAGGAGGAAGAAUACAAGUCUUUCCAGCUCUUUAUUGCCCGUGCAUCUUGGAUAUGUUGAGAAACCUUUACUGACUAUCUUCAAGUCAGUUUAUUAAUGCUCUAAUAUUUUUUAUUUCUGUCAUAGUAUGCAUAUGAUGUAUUAGACAGGGCUCUGGGUACAGAUGGGCAGGGUUUAAAUGACAGAUUUAAGGCAGUGGCUCACACCUGUAAUCCCAGCACUUUGGGAGGCCAAGGCAGACAGAUCACUUGAGGUCAGGAGUUCGAGACCAGCCUGGCCAACAUGGCAAAACACUGUCUCUACUAAUAAUACAAAAAUUAGCCGGUCUUGGUGGCACCCACCUGUAAUCCCAGCUACUCGGGAGGCUGAGGCACAAGAAUAAACCUGGGAGGCGGAGGUUGCAGUGAGCUGAGAUCACACCACUGCACUCCAGCCUAGGUGACAGAAUAAAACUGUCAUCAAUCAAUCAAUCAAUAACGGAUGUUCUCCUAUGUGCCCUGGAGCAAGUGAAUUGAACCCUGGUUUUUCCUGCAGCAUGCUUGCCAAAGUUAAUUUUGUUCAUUGGUCUUUUCAAAGAACCAGCUUUUUCUCCCCUUUAUCCUUUUACUGUGUUGUUUUCUAUAUCACAAAUUUCAUCUUUUGCAUUAUCAAUUCCCAUGUAUUCCCUCAUGAUUUACUUUGUAUUUUUCCCUAGAUUCUUAACAAAAAUUAUUUAUUUUCAAUGAUAAAAUAACAAAGGCAUUUAGGCUACACAUUUUUCUAUAAUAAUAGAUUAUUUCUAAUAGGUUUUGACAAUAAGUAAUCGUCUUUCCACUGAUUCCUAGAUAGGAUUUCAUUUCUAUUUUUAUUUUUUUCUUGGCUCUCAGGCUUAUAUUAAAGAACAUUCCAUAUUCAUACUUUCCCAGUAGUUAAACUUGUAAAAUUCUAUUUACUUUGCUUUUCUAUUUGUUGGGCAUAUGAACUAUAGCCCUAGAUUCCUAAAUUUACUGAAUUAUAGUCAGAAAAGGGCAACUUAAAAAAUCUGUAUUUGGGGAAAAAUCAUUAUUAUUUUUUGAGACAGGGUCUUGCUCUGUCACCUGGGCUGGAGUGCAGUGGUGCAAUCAUAGCUCACUGUAGUCUCAAACUCCUGGGCUUAUGUGAUCCUCCCACCUCAACCUCCCAAGUAACUAGGACUACAGAUGCAUGCCACCAUACCUGGCUAACUUUUAAAGUUUUUGGAGAGAUGGGGGUCUCACUGUGUUUCCCAGGCUGGUUUCAAACUCCUGGCCUCAAGUAAUUCUCCCACUUUGGGCUCCCUAAAAAUGCUGAGAUUACAGGCAUGCUCCCAGAGUGCUGAGAUUACAGGUGUGAGCCACUGCUCUUGGCCCAGGGUAGUUUUUAGUUAUUUUUUUAUUGUGAUCAAAUACUGCAUUUUAAAAAUUGUUACUUAGAUGUAAGAGAAGAGUUAAUAUCCUCUCUGUGUGGUUCCUUACAUAUACAAAAGCAAGCUUAUUUAAAUUACUCAAAUUAAGUAUAUCUUUUGGAAAUAUCUGUCAAGUUUUUCAAUCAUAUUCUGAGACAGGUGAAACUGUUUUAUCUUGCAUUUCUGAAUUGUUCAUCUUGCUGUUACAUAAUAAGGCACUGAUUAGAUGCUUUAGGUUUUGAAUUUUUUCCUUACCCGAUUGACCAACUCUCUAAGUCUCAGUUUCUCCAUCCAUAAAAUAGAAGUAAUAAUGCCUG
rnacentral:lncRNA from 10 species